rnacentral:rRNA from 1 species
AUUGAACGCUGGCGGCAUGCUUUACACAUGCAAGUCGAACGGUAACAGGCCGCAAGGUGCUGACGAGUGGCGAACGGGCGAGUAAUGCAUCGGAACGUGCCCAGUCGUGGGGGUUAACUACUCGAAAGAGUAGCUAAUACCGCAUCCGAUCUAUGGAUGAAAGCGGGGGACCGUAAGGCCUCGCGCGAUUGGAGCGGCCGGUGUCCGAUUCGGUAGUUGGUGGGGUAAAGGCUCACCAUGCCAACGAUCUGUAGCUGGUCUGAGAGAACGACCAGCCACACGGGGACUGAGACACGGCCCAGACUCCUACGGGAGGCAGCAGUGGGGAAUUGUGGACAAUGGGCGCAAGCCUGAUCCAGCAAUGCCGCGUGCAGGAAGAAGGCCUUCGGGUUGUAAACUGCUUUUGUACGGAACGAAACGGCUCUGGUUAAUACCCGGGGCUAAUGACGGUACCGGAAGAAUAAGCACCGGCUAACUACGUG